UACGUAGGGGGCAAGCGUUGUCCGGAAUCAUUGGGCGUAAAGAGCGUGUAGGCGGCCCGGUAAGUCCGCUGUGAAAGUCCAGGGCUCAACCCUGGGAUGCCGGUGGAUACUGUCGGGCUCGAGUCCGGAAGAGGAGUGUGGAAUUCCCGGUGUAGUGGUGAAAUGCGCAGAUAUCAGGAGGAACACCAAUGGCGAAGGCGGAUCUCUGGGCCUUACCUGACGCUGAGGCGCGAAAGCUAGGGGAGCGAACAGG
rnacentral:rRNA from 1 species